rnacentral:rRNA from 1 species
ACUCCUACGGGAGGCAGCAGUAGGGAAUCUUCCACAAUGGGCGCAAGCCUGAUGGAGCAACACCGCGUGAGUGAAGAAGGGUUUCGGCUCGUAAAGCUCUGUUGUUAAAGAAGAACACGUAUGAGAGUAACUGUUCAUACGUUGACGGUAUUUAACCAGAAAGUCACGGCUAACUACGUGCCAGCAGCCGCGGUAAUACGUAGGUGGCAAGCGUUAUCCGGAUUUAUUGGGCGUAAAGAGAGUGCAGGCGGUUUUCUAAGUCUGAUGUGAAAGCCUUCGGCUUAACCGGAGAAGUGCAUCGGAAACUGGAUAACUUGAGUGCAGAAGAGGGUAGUGGAACUCCAUGUGUAGCGGUGGAAUGCGUAGAUAUAUGGAAGAACACCAGUGGCGAGGCGGCUACCUGGUCUGCAACUGACGCUGAGACUCGAAAGCAUGGGUAGCGAACAGGAUUAGAUACCCCUGGUAGGAUAGCG